rnacentral:pre_miRNA from 1 species
AGGGUUGUCGUACCUCGUGUUCAUCUUAAUCUCAAUAGUUGAACCCGAGGCGACGACUCUUU